UAGGUGAUUAUCAUUGGCUGAAUUACUCAUGAAUUAUUAAUGAAUUUGAAUUUUCAAAUUCAUUAAUAAUUCAUGAGUAAUUCAGCCAAUGAUAAUCACC